AUGGAGAUCACAAGCAGCACGAUGGUGAAGCCGGCGCACGCCGUGCCGCGCCCGCUCGUCGGCGAGAAGGUCCCGCUGACCGUCUUCGACCGCGCCGCCCUGGACAUCUUCGUCCCCACCGUGCUCGCCUACCGCGCGCCGGCGCCGUCCAACGAGGCGCUCAGGGAGGGCCUCCUCAAGGCCGUCGCGCCCUACCCUCACCUGGCGGGCCGCCUCGCCCUCGACGAUCAAGGCCGGCGGUUCCUUCACGUCAACAAUGAGGGCGUGCUCUUGAUCGAGGCAACCGUGCCGGUCGACCUGGCGGACGUGCUCGUCGACGGCCGCAUGGCCGCAGUCGUCGAGGACCUCUACCCGGCGAUACCGGAGAAGAACAUUGGGGCAGCGCUGCUGCAGAUCCAGGUGCGGUGGUCUCGUGGUCGGCAUAUGCUCCCAUCAUCACGCCGCCGACGGCCACUCCAUGAGCAUGUUUUUCACCGCAUGGGCGACGGCGGUGCGAGAAGGAAAGGACUUCGCGACGCAGAUCCCAUUCCUCGACCGUGCGAGAACCACCGUACCCCGAAGCACGCCGACGCCGGUGUUCGACCACCGGUCACGGGAGUUCACGUGUGGAGACGGAGACACCUAUGCCGUCGUCCCCAUGGACAGGAUAAAAAACCUCACGGAGUCACGGUGCACUUCACGGCCGAGUUCGUCGCCGACCUCAAAGCCCAUGUCGGCGCCCGCUGCAGCAGGUUCCAGUGCCUGCUCGCCCACGUCUGGAAGAAAAUCACGGCGGCGCGGGACCUGAAGCCGGAAGAGUACACCAAGGUGAGGGUGGCCGUGAACUGCAGGGGCAGGGCCGACCCUCCCGUGCCAAUGGACUUCUUCGGGAACAUGGUGCUCUGGGCUUUCCCAAGGCUUCAGGUCAGGGACGUCCUGAACUCGAGCUACGGCAGCGUGGUCGGCGUCAUUCGCGACGCCGUGGCGAGCAUCGACGACGAGUACGUGCAGUACUUCGUGGACUUCGGCGGAGUGGCAGACGCGAACGGGGAGGAGCUCCUCGCGACGGCGGCCACGGCCGGCACGAUGUUCUGCCCGGACGCAGAGGUGGACAGCUGGCUUGGGUUCAGGUUCCAUCAACUCGACUUUGGCACCGGGGCACCGUCCGCAUUCAUACCGCCGGACUUGCCUAUCGAGGGGCUCAUGAUCUUUGUGCCGUCGUGCAAGGCGAAUGGCGGCGUCGACCUCUUCAUGGCCGUCGCGGAGGAGCACGUCGCGGCGUUCGAGCAGAUCUGCUACUCGUUGGAUUGA
rnacentral:rRNA from 1 species